CAACCUGCCCACCACUUGGGGAUAACCUUGCGAAAGUAAGACUAAUACCCAAUGAUAUCUCUAGAAGACAUCUGAAGGAGAUUAAAGAUUUAUCGGUGAUGGAUGGGGAUGCGUCUGAUUAGCUUGUUGGCGGGGUAACGGCCCACCAAGGCGACGAUCAGUAGGGGUUCUGAGAGGAAGGUCCCCCACAUUGGAACUGAGACACGGUCCAAACUCCUACGGGAGGCAGCAGUGAGGAAUAUUGGUCAAUGGGCGAGAGCCUGAACCAGCCAAGUAGCGUGCAGGAUGACGGCCCUAUGGGUUGUAAACUGCUUUUAUAAGGGAAUAAAGUGAGCCUCGUGAGGCUUUUUGCAUGUACCUUAUGAAUAAGGACCGGCUAAUUCCGUGCCAGCAGCCGCGGUAAUACGGAAGGUUCGGGCGUUAUCCGGAUUUAUUGGGUUUAAAGGGAGCGUAGGCCGGAGAUUAAGCGUGUUGUGAAAUGUAGAUGCUCAACAUCUGCACUGCAGCGCGAACUGGUUUCCUUGAGUACGCACAAAGUGGGCGGAAUUCGUGGUGUAGCGGUGAAAUGCUUAGAUAUCACGAAGAACUCCGAUUG
rnacentral:rRNA from 1 species